AAGAUAAGGGAGGUAGCAACCCUUUUCCAUUUAAAAGGACAAUCAAAUUUUCAAGAAAACGGAGGGACUCAGAGCUUUCCUACCAACAUUUCCCAACCUUCUAAUCACACCACAAGCAAUCCCACUACACCCCAAUCCCACUACAAAAUAAAAUAGAUAAGAAUAAACAUAAGUAUACAAACAUAAGUGUUUCUAAUAGGAGCUUCGAGAAUUCGUCAUCGAAUCUUCCGAAGUCCCAAACUCUUGGAGAUUUCGUCCACACUAUCAAGGAAGAAGAGCAAAAAAAUCCAGUUUCCUUCUUGGAAAAGGUCGGUUGGAAAUCUCUUCCUAAUUUUCCAUAUCCACACACCAUUCAUACUCUUAUUCAUGUAAGCAUGCUAGUUAGAGAUUGGGUGCUAUAUCUCCACCUAAACCACUAAGAUAAUCUUCAACGCGGCUAAAUGGCUAAACAAUGCACUUUAACAAACUACAAAGUACAAAUUAAAAGGUGAGAAAAACUCUCGGACCUAAAAAAAGAGGCUGUUGGAAAACAGAUUAAUGACGGACUAAACAACCUCCUAUUACUCUUUUACAUCGUUUACACUAAGAGCUUAAGAGCUACAAAAUCUCCAGUAGUAUGAUGCAGAAAUCGAGCUAAAAUGAGAUUUUAUGCUAAGAUAUCAUUGCUGGAAUUUUAUUAGAAGUGGCAACAUAAUAAGUUUUUCAAGCGGAAAAUCAUUUUCAUAGCAUUUAGAUUACCAGUGUAGUCUUGAUGAACAAGACAGUCAGGUUUUCAUAUUUUAAGCAACCUAAUUAGUCAAGGAUAAAUUCGCUACUAUCUACCUAGCAAAAUCUGAAUAAAUAAAUAAAAACUGAGUUUUUUACCUUUUUCGCCCGCCUCUUCUCCGGCCGAAGGAUCCGUCAUCGGCGGCGACUUUUGUUUUUCCUUUCUUCUUUUUCCUACUUCUUCUCCUCCCGCUCCACCG
rnacentral:lncRNA from 1 species